UGAAGAUUGCGGUGUGACGGUGCUCUGACUCCGCAACGCUACUGGAGUUGAUGUUCGGUGAUUUUGGGCGCGAGCCGUCGACCACUGUUCGCCAUUGCAGGCAUGACAAGGUCUUGGGAUGGGUGGAGCUGAUGUGCCAGUCAAGUGUUAACUGGGAAAACAUGGGCAGUGUCCCAGAACCUACCCUGCCUGCCCUGAUUCCAUUCACUCUGAUCUCUUAGCCUCUAAACACAAUCCGUUCAUUGUGACCAUGCAGCACAAACACCCAGAUGAGUGGCUUCCGUAUGUCAUCAUCAAAGACACUGAGACCCAUGUGAUGUAGGGCGACACAUGGGGGUCCAAAGAUGGUCACCUUCAGGCCUCAUCACAACAGCAAUUGUCCCAGUGAUAUUCUGCACUGAAAUCAGUUCUACCUGUGACGCACUGUGACGGGGUUCUACCUCAGCCCUCUUAGAUUAAAAAAAAAAACAAAACAGAAAAACGUAGGCAUAGCUGAGAUUUAUUGUGGUCACCUCCCGAAAUUUCAGAUAAAUGGCAAAAAUAUUUUUACAAAUCCUAUUAUAUGUAGUGCUCCAUCUGUCAAUAUUCCAUGCAUUGCAUAGGUGAACAGGUAUAAAAUGGGUAAACAAGACUGACAUGUGGGUAGAUUGAUAUCCAAAAUGAAGAUUUUCAAUUUAAAUCAAAUUAAACUUUAAUGACAGG